CAUUGUCCUGGUACUUUCCUGUGUUAAUGCCGUUUUGAACUAAGAUUUUUAAAAGAGCGUGCAAUUAAUUAAUUUAUCCAACACACCUAAUUUUUUUCAAGCAUGCAGGAGAGUGGAGAGUUGCAUGUCAUUGCACUAAAGGAAUAAAGCUCUGUACCAAAUUCAUUAUAAUUCCCUUACUAGUAAAGACUAAAGAGGUGAACACACCUCUUUAUUAUUAGAGAAAAGUCUACAUUUGAACCCUAAACCCUGUUUUCAAGACGUCCGAUUAAUCGCGAUUAAUCGCGAUUAAUCGUCCUGGACGGUCCAGCAGUAUCGUCCAGGGCCUCCGUCCAGGCCAGACCGUCCAGGAAUCUGGACGUCCGAUUAAUCGUCGUCCAAUCGCGAUUAAUCGGACGUCCAGGGUGUUUGAGCGUCCAGGCAGAGGAAAUAAGAAUGGGCUGCAUCUGCUGAGGGAGUUGGGCCAAGCAAGCUUUCGGCAGCUCCCUCUCCUCCAGAGCUCCCUUCCGGUUCCCAGCUCCUCCUCCUCCUCCCUCCCGUCCAGCUGCCUCCCUCUCUUCCUUGCGGCUGCUGCUGCUGCAGGCAAGCAGGCCUGCAGAUCUAGAUUGACAAGAUGAGCUCCUCCUCCUCAGGUCAGUCUCAGUCAUCAGUCCUCGUUCAAGAUUUGUGCUUUUCCAGUGUUUGAAGCUUCAAGAUCUUUUUCUCUCUGUAGAUCUAGUUCGACAGAGGCAGCGUGCAGUGGAAGUGUACCUACCUGAGGAAGUUCAAGGAGAAGGAGAAGUUGGUUCCUCAGUUGCAUCAACUGCUGCUGGUUCAGCAGCAUCAACUGCUCCAGACAUUGCAUCUCUUGUUGAGAAGGCCUUAGCAAAACUGCCUCCAGAAAUGGCUGCUGAAGCAAAAGAUCCCAAGAGGAAGGCAAAGUCUCGAGACCCUGGAUGGCAGUUUGGAUGUGCUUUGCUGUGUUAAUUUGCUUUGUUGAUCACUUGAUCACUUGAUUGUCUUUUACCUGAUUGCCUUGUUAAUGUGCUUUAUUUUUCUAUAUUUUCAGUUUGGCAGCAGCAGCCAGCAAGACAAGAAAGGGCUCUGCAGCAACCAGGUAAGUGGCCAACUGACCUAUCUAUAGCCUAGAAGAUGUAGUAUAUAAGUGUGUGUGUGUGUGUAUAUAUAUGGUGUAAUGUAUGUAUUGUUAUAACUAUAGUAUAUAUAUAUAUAUAUUGUAUAUAUGGUAUAUAUAAGUUCCCCAUAUAGGGGACGACCAGGACGACCAGGGGACUCGUCCAGGGUCGAUUAAUCGUCCUGGACGACGAUUAAUC